rnacentral:rRNA from 1 species
UACGGAGGGUGCGAGCGUUGUCCGGAAUCAUUGGGCGUAAAGGGCGCGUAGGUGGCCCGGUCAGUUCGUGGUGAAAGCGCGGGGCUCAACCCUGCGUCGGCCAUGAAUACUGCCGCGGCUGGAGCACUGUAGAGGCAGGCGGAAUUCCGGGUGUAGCGGUGGAAUGCGUAGAGAUCCGGAAGAACACCGGUGGCGAAGGCAGCCUUCUGGGCCAACACUGACGCUCAUGCACGAAAGCGUGGGGAGCAAACAGG